UACGUAGGGGGCAAGCGUUGUCCGGAAUCAUUGGGCGUAAGAGCGUGUAGGCGGCUCGAUAAGUCUGCUGUGAAAGUCCAGGGCUCAACCCUGGAAGGCCGGUGGAAACUGUCGGGCUAGAGUCCGGAAGAGGCGAGUGGAAUUCCCGGUGUAGCGGUGAAAUGCGCAGAUAUCGGGAGGAACACCAAUGGCGAAGGCAGCUCGCUGGGACGGUACUGACGCUAAGGCGCGAAAGCGUGGGGAGCGAACAGG
rnacentral:rRNA from 1 species